AUAUUUGUUUUACAGGUUCAAUAUACAGUCAGCCUCUCAUAAGAAAAAAUCCAAAGAUCCAAGGCUUGCUUCAAAGUUAAGAGACCAUUCUGUGCCACAAAGAAAUUGUUUAGGAAGGGGAAAACUGGUGGAUUUGCAUUUUUGGUACAGUUCAAAGAGAUUUUCAAAAUGGUCAGAUCAGAGGGAGGACAACUGAAAAUAUACUGAAAGA